rnacentral:rRNA from 1 species
GAUGAACGCUGGCGGCGUGCCUAAUACAUGCAAGUCGAGCGAACGGACGAGAAGCUUGCUUCUCUGAUGUUAGCGGCGGACGGGUGAGUCACACGUGGAUAACCUACCUAUAAGACUGGGAUAACUUCGGGAAACCGGAGCUAAUACCGGAUAAUAUUUUGAACCGCAUGGUUCAAAAGUGAAAGACGGUCUUGCUGUCACUUAUAGAUGCAUCCGCGCUGCAUUGGCUAGUUGGUGAGGUCACGGCUUACCAAGGCUACGAUGCCUAGCCGACCGGAAGGGGUGAUCGGCCACCCUGGAACUGGACCGCGGUCCAUGCUCCUACGGGAGGCAGCAGUAUGGAAUGUUCCGCAAUGGGCGAAAGCCUGACGGAGCGACGCCGCGUGAGUGAUGAAGGUCUUCGGUUCGUAAAGCUCUGUUAUUAGGGAAGAACAUAUUUGUAAUUAACUGUACACAGCGUGACGGUACCUAAUCAGAAAGCCACGGCUAACUACGUG